AGGGUUUUCCAAAUCUCAGACCUGUUCCUAUUAAUGUGGCCAGUGAGUGUAUUUCUAAUUCUAAACCUCUAUAUUUUCCUUUUGGAUGUCUGUAAAUCUGGAUUUCUAAUAGUCAAUCCCCCAGGUUCAGCAUCCAAAUGGGCCAACUUGUCAUAAUUACCAUCAUUUCAUUUAAGUCAGACGUCAAUCAAAGCUGUCCAUCACGAGUCGCUGAAAAAAAAAAGGUUGAGAAAGCAUGGAAGGAAGGAAGGAAAGAAAGACCUAAGGGUGUUUCAUAUCUGCCUUGCUCCCUUGCUCUAAAAGCAGCUUAUCUCUCUCACACACAUUGACCAGCAAUGCAUUUAGAAUUGCUUAUGCACUCACUGGCCUCAAAUUCAAACCAGUCCUGUAAAAAAAAAAAAAAAAAAAAAAACAAGCCAGUGUAUCUAGAAAAAUAAAAAGCAGCCCACAUUUCUCUCUGUGUAAGAGCGAAGCCAAUGAUUGAAGGAGUAAAGGUUUCUGGGCCACUUUGGACUUGAAGAAAGAAAGAAAGAAAAAAGGAUGUGCGAUUCUGGACACUGGAGAUUCAUCUUGAGAACAUUCCUUCUGUUCCUUCAUAACUUUAUCAAGCUUUGGUGCUCCACCUGAGAUUUUCCAGAAAAGUGCAUUGGAAACACAAAAAAAGGCUGGUGUAGUGAGUGAGGUGGUGAGCAGUUUAGAUAAGCUAGCUACUAAACUAUUUAUAUUCAACUACCCUAAUGAAUGUAAUGCUAGCUAGCUAGCUAUAGUUAAUAACCUAUUUCAUUAAGUGACUACCUAGCUAACUACAAAUAUGUACUGUAAAUCAACUGCUUCUUGUUGUGACGCUCGCUGAUUUAUUUCAUACCAUGCUAAUGUAAGCUAGCUAGCAUUAAGAAGCAAUCUGCCUGUUGAUUUACUGCCUGUUUUGCACCUGAAGCAAUCUGCCUGUUGAUUUACAGUAAACCCUAAAUGUGAGUCUAGCUGGAUGAUAGCUAGAUUUCAAACAAAUUUUAAUGAGAAUUCAGUUUCUAAACGAAUAAAAAAGAUAAAACUCA